UGGCAGUCAGAGAAUUCUUAUGUCUGGAUGAUCCACCAACUGCUUUAGAUGCUCUUAGAGAAAGACAGGCCUUCUGUGAGACACUGGAAGGGACAGACCGCUGCCUUCAGAAGGAUUUCAUGGUUGACGAGAGAGAGAGAAAUGAGUCCAUGAGAAACGUCCUUCUGCACAAAGAGCUCCAAAUUAGCCAUUCUGAGAGAACAAAGAAGGGCCACGGAGCGUGCUGGUGUGGAUCAGCGACUGACAGCCCAGAAAAACACCGUUGCGGAGGACCAUUCCAAGAAAUUCA
rnacentral:lncRNA from 1 species